UUUGGARRAAUUUGAUCCUGGCUCAGGACGAACGCUGGSGGCGKGCCUWAWACAUGCAAGUCGAGCGGACAGAUGGGAGCUUGCUCCCUGAUGUUAGCGGCGGACGGGUGAGUAACACGUGGGUAACCUGCCUGUAAGACUGGGAUAACUCCGGGAAACCGGGGCUAAUACCGGAUGCUUGUUUGAACCGCAUGGUUCAAACAUAAAAGGUGGCUUCGGCUACCACUUACAGAUGGACCCGCGGCGCAUUAGCUAGUUGGUGAGGUAAUGGCUCACCAAGGCAACGAUGCGUAGCCGACCUGAGAGGGUGAUCGGCCACACUGGGACUGAGACACGGCCCAGACUCCUACGGGAGGCAGCAGUAGGGAAUCUUCCGCAAUGGACGAAAGUCUGACGGAGCAACGCCGCGUGAGUGAUGAAGGUUUUCGGAUCGUAAAGCUCUGUUGUUAGGGAAGAACAAGUGCCGUUCRAAUAGGGCGGCMC
rnacentral:rRNA from 1 species